CGCACAUGGAGGAAGGAAGCCCUGCAGGCGGAGAAACCAUCUAGAGAACCUCUGAACACAGCCAGAUGUUGCUGAUGAUGGAGCUGGAGGCUGGGCUGGACGAUGGUCCGAGGACAGCGACCACCCCCUUGGGGAGGAUCUGACACACUGCAGCCAGCGGCAGGGACAGGGAAAGAAGCAAAGCACUCAUCAGAUACAAAAUCAACAGAGAGAAAUUAAAGAGCAGAGUCAAGAUUCAACAGCUCCACCCAUUUCCCCAAAGACCGGCCCCUUAACCACUGCACCGCACAGCCAUCCCCAGCAAAUGGCAAUUAACUGGGAUGUUUGUAGAUUGCCUUGGCCACUGGAACACUGAGUUAUUGUCUUCCCUUUUUUCAUUUCACUACUUUCUAUAAUGAGCAUGUAUUCCUUUUUAUAACAUAUUAUAAAGAAUACAAUGCUAUAAUAAAAACAUUCUUCUGAUGAGCAAGUAAAAUUCGAGUGACUCUGGUCUCCUUAAGUCCUGUCUUUGCAGCCCCUUCUCCCACCGUGCCAUCUCCCGCUGCAUGCCAGCUCACCUAGAACAUACUCUGUACAUAUUUUCCUGCCUGAUCCUGUUCCCAAAUGGCUAUCUCUAGAUCAGGGGUUCUUAACCUGUAGCCUG
rnacentral:lncRNA from 1 species